ensembl:misc_RNA Gm55525 predicted gene, 28006
CCAGCAGACCCCUUUUUUUCCAGAUAAGGGGUUGUGAACCCACCUGGGGAUGAGGCCUGGUCUUAUGGAAGGUGGACUUAGCUUCGCUGGGCGGACAGCUCUGGCCCAGGGUGGUAUGUAAU